rnacentral:rRNA from 1 species
UACGGGGGGGGCGAGCGUUGUUCGGAAUUACUGGGCGUAAAGCGUGCGCAGGCGGUUUUGUAAGUCAGAUGUGAAAUCCCCGGGCUUAACCUGGGAACUGCGUUUGAAACUACAAGGCUAGAGUGUGGCAGAGGGGGGUGGAAUUCCACGUGUAGCAGUGAAAUGCGUAGAGAUGUGGAGGAACACCGAUGGCGAAGGCAGCCCCCUGGGUUAACACUGACGCUCAGGCACGAAAGCGUGGGGAGCAAACAGG